rnacentral:rRNA from 1 species
GUGCCAGCAGCCGCGGUAAGACGGAGGAUGCAAGUGUUAUCCCGGAAUCACUGGGCGUAAAGCGUCUGUAGGUGGUCCAAUAAGUCAACUGUUAAAUCUUGAGGCUCAACCUCAAAAUCGCAGUCGAAACUAUUAGACUAGAGUAUAGUAGGGGUAAAGGGAAUUUCCAGUGGAGCGGUGAAAUGCGUAGAGAUUGGAAAGAACACCGAUGGCGAAGGCACUUUACUGGGCUAUUACUAACACUCAGAGACGAAAGCUAGGGUAGCAAAUGGGAUUAGAUACCCCAGUAGUCCUAGCCGUAAACAAUGGAUACUAGAUGUUGAACAGAUCGACCUGUGCAGUAUUAAAGCUAACGCGUUAAGUAUCCCGCCUGGGAAGUAUGCUCGCAAGAGUGAAACUCAAAUGAAUUGACGG